rnacentral:ribozyme from 1 species
UCAUUAACUCCGCCUGUAGCUCUUAUAGGGUUGCUGCCGGUCCCAAGCCCGGGCAAAGGAGGAGGGUUGG